rnacentral:rRNA from 1 species
UGAGUACGAGACGCUAAGGCGUCGAAGUAGUGGAUGUCAUACUUCCAAGAAAAGCUUGCACUGUCAUAAAUAAAAAUGCCUGUACCAUAACCGACACAGGUGGGUAAGUAGAGUAUACUAAGGGGCGCGAGAUAACUCUCUCUAAGGAACUCGGCAAAAUAACUCCGUAACUUCGGGAGAAGGAGUGCCUUAUUCUUAAGGUUGCAAUAACAAGAUCCAAGCAACUGUUUAUCAAAAACACAGGUCUCCGCUAAGUCGUAAGACGAUGUAUGGGGGCUGACGCCUGCCCAGUACCAGAAGGUUAAAGAAGUCGGUUAGCAAUAGCAAAGCUGGUAACUGAAGCCCUGGUGAACGGCGGCCGUAACGAUAACGGUCCUAAGGUAGCGAAAUUCCUUGUCGGGUAAGUUCCGACCCGCACGAAAGGCGUAAUGAUUUGGAUGCUGUCUCGGAGAGGGGCUCGGUGAAAUAGACUUGUCUGUGAAGAUGCGGACUACCUGCACCAGGACAGAAAGACCCUAUGAAGCUUUACUGUAACUUGAAAUUGAAAUUGGACUUUAUUCGCGCAGUAUAGGUGGGAGGCGUUGAUUAUAAUCUUGUGGGAUUAUUGGAGCCAUCAGUGAGAUACCACUCUUGUAAUGUUAGAUUUCUAACUUUGAAUCAUUAUCUGGUCAAAGGACAGUAUCAGGCGGGCAGUUUGACUGGGGCGGUCGCCUCCUAAACGGUAACGGAGGCGUACAAAGGUUUCCUCUGAACGGUUAGAAAUCGUAUCUAGAGUGUAAAGGCAUAAGGAAGCUUGACUGUGAGACCUACAAGUCGAGCAGGGACGAAAGUCGGUCUUAGUGAUCUGACGGUACUGAGUGGAAAGGCCGUCACUCAACGGAUAAAAGUUACUCUAGGAUAACAGGCUGAUCUCCCCCAAGAGUUCACAUCGACGGGGAGGUUUGGCACCUCGAUGUCGGCUCAUCGCAUCCUGGGGCGGUAGUACGUCCCAAGGGUUGGGCUGUUCGCCCAUGAAAGCGGUACGCGAGCUGGGUUCAGAACGUCGUGAGACAGUUCGGUCCAUAUCCGGUGUAGGCGCUAGAAUAUUGAGAGGAGCCUUCUUUAGUACGAGAGGACCGAGAAGGACAUACCUCUGGUGUACCAGUUAUCGUGCCAACGGUAAACGCUGGGUAGCUAUGUAUGGAGUGGAUAACCGCUGAAAGCAUCUAAGUGGGAAGCCCACCUCAAGAUAAGUAUUCUCAUCACGUAAGUGAGUAAGGUCACGGUAAGACUAACCGUUUGAUAGGCAUUAAGUGUAAGUACAGUAAUGUAUGUGCUGAGAUGUCCUAAUAGACCGAGGAC